rnacentral:rRNA from 1 species
AUUGAACGCUGGCGGCAUGCCUUACACAUGCAAGUCGAACGGUAACGCGGGGCAACCUGGCGACGAGUGGCGAACGGGUGAGUAAUGCAUCGGAACGUGCCCAGUAGUGGGGGAUAGCCCGGCGAAAGCCGGAUUAAUACCGCAUACGACCUACGGGUGAAAGCGGGGGACCGUAAGGCCUCGCGCUAUUGGAGCGGCCGAUGUCAGAUUAGGUAGUUGGUGGGGUAAAGGCCUACCAAGCCUUCGAUCUGUAGCUGGUCUGAGAGGACGACCAGCCACACUGGGACUGAGACACGGCCCAGACUCCUACGGAGGCAGCAGUGGGGAAUUUUGGACAAUGGGCGCAAGCCUGAUCCAGCCAUGCCGCGUGCGG